ACCGAAAUGAACAUAAAUUCAAAAAUCCAACACAAUACGAUAGAGACUGGGGCUAUCAAAACAAAAAUAAUGUCGUAUACUAUCAUAAAGCAAAAUAACAUCUCAAAUGGAAGAAAUUCUGAACUGUUGAUCACUAAAAAUGCCUAGAAAACAAAAUUUCAGGCACUCUAGUUCAUCCUCCUGAUAAGUUCGUUAAUGAAGUUCUCGCGGUUACCAGCAUCUCCACCUUCAACGUAGUGAUUUCUCUUCUUCUUGAGUCCACCCAAAGGUGCCUUCAGCUGGAAUGGCCAUAGGAAGUUGUUGGCCUGCUUGAAGCUGGGCCCGACAGUCAUGAUCUCGUGGACAAGGUCUUCAGCACAGAUAAUUCCAUGUUUGCCCAAUCCCUGCUCAAUGACAGAGUUGUCGGUUAAAGGAAUUCUCUGCUUGUCAAGUUUUCCGUAACCUCUUUUGUAGAUCAAUUCCCUAACACUCUUUAGGUUUGGGUAACCAUAGGUAACGUAAGGUUCAACCCUAUGCAACAUGUUCACUGUGGCCUUGUUGACUUUCAAAAAGACACCAUUAAAGAUCUGGCGCAAACGUAGUAGCUGCAAAAUCUUUUUGGUCUGUGGGGGCAUAGCGUUAAUACCGCGUAUUCUGAUGAUAAACAACAACUUUGCCUCAGGAUCCACAUAGAAACCACCUUUCAAUCUAGCCUCACGUUUCAAACGGAUCAAUUCCUUGUCCUGUUCUGCAUACUCCUUUGCAUACAGCUUUGCCCUGUUGUAGAUCAAUUUCCUGUUCUCAGCAUUCUUCUUCUUUGCAGAUUCAAGUUCUUGCUUCUUUGCAAGAGCCCAUUCCUCGCUCCUCUUCUGCUUCUUCAAAACUGACUCUGGAACUGGUGUUUCACCCAUCUCUUGAAAUUGUUGAAGAGAAUGGCUCUGAUCGGCGGGAGGGCAAGAGAGAAUGUAACUGUGACCUAAAUGCGGCAAAUAUAUGUUAAGA
rnacentral:misc_RNA from 1 species